AAGACCCGUAUGAAUGGCAUAACGAGGGCUUAACUGUCUCCUCUUUCAAGUCAAUGAAAUUGAUCUCCCCGUGCAGAAGCGGGGAUAANAACAUAAGACGAGAAGACCCUAUGGAGCUUUAGACACUAAGGCAGCCCACGUUAAAGACCCUAAAUAAAGGAUUAAACCAAGCGGGCCCUGCCCUGAUGUCUUUGGUUGGGGCGACCGCGGGGAAUUAAAGAACCCCCACGUGGAAUGGGGACACUCUUCCUACACCCAAGAGCUACAGCUCUAGUAAACAGAAUUUCUGACCAGCAAGAUCCGGCAAUGCCGAUCAANGGACCGAGUUACCCUAGGGAUAACAGCGCAAUCCUCUUUUAGAGCCCA
rnacentral:rRNA from 1 species